UGAGCAAUCUGCCCUUCUCAUCGGAAUAAGCGUUGGAAACGACGUCUAAUGCCGAAUACGACCUCCUUUCGCAUGAUCGGAGGUGGAAAGCUCCGGCGGAGAAGGAUGAGCUCGCGGCCUGUCAGCUAGUUGGUGUGGGUAAUGGCCCACCAAGGCGACGACGGGUAGCCGGCCUGAGAGGGCCGACCGGCCACACUGGGACUGAGACACGGCCCAGACCUCCGUACGGGAGCAG
rnacentral:rRNA from 1 species